CGAAGUAUAGCUUAACCACUAAAGCACCUUGCCUACACCAAGAACAUGUCUGCUAAUUCCAGACUACCUCGAG
rnacentral:tRNA from 1 species